rnacentral:rRNA from 1 species
AGUCGAGCGGAGAUGAGGUGCUUGCACCUUAUCUUAGCGGCGGACGGGUGAGUAAUGCUUAGGAAUCUGCCUAUUAGUGGGGGACAACAUUCCGAAAGGGAUGCUAAUACCGCAUACGUCCUACGGGAGAAAGCAGGGGAUCUUCGGACCUUGCGCUAAUAGAUGAGCCUAAGUCGGAUUAGCUAGUUGGUGGGGUAAAGGCCUACCAAGGCGACGAUCUGUAGCGGGUCUGAGAGGAUGAUCCGCCACACUGGGACUGAGACACGGCCCAGACUCCUACGGGAGGCAGCAGUGGGGAAUAUUGGACAAUGGGGGGAACCCUGAUCCAGCCAUGCCGCGUGUGUGAAGAAGGCCUUAUGGUUGUAAAGCACUUUAAGCGAGGAGGAGGCUACUGAGACUAAUACUCUUGGAUAGUGGACGUUACUCGCAGAAUAAGCACCGGCUAACUCUGUGCCAGCAGCCGCGGUAAUACAGAGGGUGCGAGCGCUAAUCGGAUUUACUGGGCGUAAAGCGUGCGUAGGCGGCUUUUUAAGUCGGAUGUGAAAUCCCCGAGCUUAACUUGGGAAUUGCAUUCGAUACUGGGAAGCUAGAGUAUGGGAGAGGAUGGUAGAAUUCCAGGUGUAGCGGUGAAAUGCGUAGAGAUCUGGAGGAAUACCGAUGGCGAAGGCAGCCAUCUGGCCUAAUACUGACGCUGAGGUACGAAAGCAUGGGGAGCAAACAGGAUUAGAUACCCUGGUAGUCCAUGCCGUAAACGAUGUCUACUAGCCGUUGGGGCCUUUGAGGCUUUAGUGGCGCAGCUAACGCGAUAAGUAGACCGCCUGGGGAGUACG